GACGCCACAAAAAGUUCUUCGUCGACGGAGCGGGAGAUCUCGAUUCCUGAUCUCGGCGUGGAGAUGAAGAAGGCUGGGGUCUUCGCCGCCUCCCUCGCGGCCGUCUCUUCCGCUGCUCUCUCCACCACCAACCCCUCCUCCUCCACCUCCACCUCCUCCUCCUCUAAAGAGGGAUUGGGAUCGUCGAGGAAGCAGGACGCUGCCGGAUCAGGAUCAAGGAGGGACGCGGAAGACAAGUUCGCGCCGAGAUUCGACGGGCUUAGGUUCAUCGAGACGCUGGUAACGGCGCAUCGGUGAUUCUCGAGUCUCUUGCCGAUGCUUCACCCUCUUAUCACCGAUCGAUUUCUGCCAAGGCGGUGGUCCUCUUCCUGAUAUAAUUAUGAUUUAGUAUUGGUAGUCUGCAAGCUCUGUUACGCACGAGCCGUGUGUGAUUUUAACUUCUUGUAUAUUAAUUAAUUAAUUAAUUAUUCUUGUAUUUCGAUUAA